rnacentral:rRNA from 1 species
AAUCAACGCUGGCGGCAUGCCUAACACAUGCAAGUCGAGCGAGAAAGGGUAGCAAUACCUGAGUAAAGCGGCGCACGGGUGAGUAACACGUGGAUAACCUGCCUCGAAGUGGGGAAUAACACCGGGAAACCGGUGCUAAUACCGCAUACCAUGUCGAAGUCUGCGGAUUUUGACAUGAAAGGAGCAAUUCGCUUUGAGAGGGGUCCGCGGCUGAUUAGCUAGUUGGUGAGGUAAUGGCUCACCAAGGCUUUGAUCAGUAGCCGGUCUGAG